AACAAGCAUGCUACGAACAUGUUGUAACUCGAACAUGUUCGAUGGCAAAACAUAAACAAAACGAAAAAUGUGGAGCUAAAAAAGCAAAACACAACAACAAUAGCAGCAGCGGCAACAGCAACAGCAGCAACAACUACAAACAGACCCCAACAAACUAACGUGUUGGGGACUUUGGAACAAACGACAACCACAACAGUUAAUCAGUAACGUGAAUGCAAUCGAAACGAGUUGUUGUGUCAACGAAUAGAAAAUUUUGUAAAAGAAAGAAAAAACAAAUAAAUAACGUGGGGUUUUUUUCUUUCUAUGAAAAGAAAAAAAAGAGAGAAAAAACCAAUAACAAAACAAACGUUUGAUUGUUUAACGACUCAGUUUUAAAGUCAACCUAAAGAGAAAAAUAAAAAUCAUACACUCAACACAAAUUAGGUGUAUGACGUUGGAUCGAUAACAAAAAAGAUCUGUCGGUGUUUAAAUAAAAUUUCAAAACUUAAAUUUUUUUACUAUUUAAAAUAGUAAUGAAAUCUUAACACACCUUUAUCUAAGGCGCAAAAAAAAAGAAAUAAAUAUUUAAAGCAAAAAAUAUAUAAAAAUUAAAAAAAAAACAUAAAAAAUAU